rnacentral:lncRNA from 1 species
GGUGGCAAAAGAGGUGAGAGGAAAACACCAAAUGGAAGAAAGAGAGGGCAAAGGGGAUUGAAGAGGGACCACAGUGAAGAUAACGUGAGCAGCAGAGGUGCGAGAGAGAAGGUGCCGUCGGCGUCCCCCGGGGCCGCAAUGAGCUGGGGCUCUAAUGAGCUGCGGCUGUAAGGAGCUGGUGGGGGCGCUGAGGGGAAGGUGCCUGGCGCUCAGCAUGUGCAGUCAUCCUGCUUAAGAGGAAAAAAUGUAAAGAAGGAUGGAUUAUUGACCAGUAACAAAGGCCUGACUCAAACAAAAGGUGGCUGAAGGUCUCGCUGAGCAUUCUGACCUUGACCUGCCCCAAACAAGGACAGAAACGGGUCUGUGUAUCACGGAGGAAGCAGAUCCGCCUCUCUGGAGUUCACCGUAUCCACACUGUGACAAAUGUUGGAAUAAUCUCAGGGAGGAUGUGCCCGUGUGUGCCCAGGCCCAAGAGCAGGAGCUGUCACCACAACCAGACUGGAGCCUCCACGGGACAACCUGUCCCAUCCAUGCACUACCUGUCCCAUCCAUGCACUACCUGUCCCAUCCAUGUCACCACAGCCAGCCUGGAGCCUCCAUGGGGCAACCUGUCCCAUCCACGUCACUGCAGGUUGUUUGUGACCUCCUGAGGCCCGCCACCAGAGUCCGGUUCUGUAUUCCGAGCACCGCAGGGUGGCCGGGCGGGACGACGUGCUCCGUUACUCCAGCAGCCUC